rnacentral:lncRNA from 1 species
AAUUUGGCAGCGAUUACAUACUUGAGUCUUCUUGGGUAUGACGCUUGAGUCUUGGGUAUGAGCUUGGUACACCUGUAUUUGGGGAGUUUCCGCCAUUUUUCUCUGCAAAUCCUCUCAAGCUCUGUCAGGUUGGAUGGGGAGCAUCGCUACACAAUUUUCAGGUCUCUCAAGAGAUUUUCGAUCGGGUUCAAGUCCGGGCCCUGGCACGAACACAGUACAGCGCACACAGGCUUAAAGGGGAAUGGAAACCCUAUGAUUUUGAACGUCAGCUAACUGUAACUGUAAAUCGCCAUAUUGGCAUUGUUGCGUCACUAGCAGGAGAGAACAUUUUGGAACUCCCAAAAAUAGCUUAAUUUACCGAGUAGCUUCAAGUCUGAGAAUGAAAAAUGUUAAUUAGGGAGCCAAUAAAUCUACUGAAGCUGGUCAUGUUUGAGCCGAUCGUUGCACCAGAUCAAGAGUUCGUUCUCGUAGCAGUAACAACACAGAUAUGCCGCCUGAAACACCUCAGCCAGAGAGUCGGCGUAGCCAAACACAAAGUGGUGUUUGUGGGGAUGAUGCCAGAGCAUACAGGCUGGCAGUUUAUCGCCAGUUCACCCUAUGGGCACAAGAGAGAAUUGGACAAGGUGUAAGGCGUCUCAUUCCUGCGUGUGUCAUUUCUUCCAUAAUGCACACAUAGCCAGAAGCAAAGGCAUUGAAUAAAAUGUUAAAUAAAACCAGUUCAUUGAGUAAAUCUAGCCUAGCCUAAGACCCAGAUCUAAUGUCUGCGCCUUAUGUAAAAUAGUAUUGGUUAACUUGUCCACUAUAACAACAGGUUCAAGCGUAACCAAAUAAACUUCAUUUGAAGAUAAAACUACUUUCAGUGCCUUCUAAUCCCGUGUCUCUGUCACUAGAGUAAUGACUUCAACUAGCUUUGGCUGCCAUCUAUUGGAAAGGAAUGGUAACUACACUGGGCAGCUAGUUGCAGAGUCAAAGUAGACUUUAAUAAUAUUUGCCAUUUAGCAGACACUUUCAUCCAAAGCGAACUGGGUACAUGGUAGUGGAAAAAGAUAAUAGAAACAGGAUUACAAUGCUGAUAUCAUGGAUGGCCAUUCCUUGCAUCUAUAGCGCUGUCUAUGAAUUUGAGUGGUUAUAUUUUUCCAGCCCCAUCCCUCAGCUUUUUACCAAAAGAGGAGCAUUGGUGACACUUUGUUAUUGUUUCUACUGCUGAUUGACACUUUAAGAAGUUAAUGGUAGACUUUCAGGUACUCAACAAGGUCUGAUUUCAUUACUACUAAAACAGGACCCAGAUUGUAAGUAUAAAGAUCCAGUCCGUUUAAAAAACUGGAAGCCUCUAACACUUCAAUUUUAUGAUGUGAAAUGCAUAGCAUAUAGAAUAAAGUUUUUUUACAUGGACGAUAUAUUGGAGAUAAUAUGACAAUUACUUGAAACAAUUGAACAUUAUGAAACAUUGAAGAUACCAGGUUUGGUCUUCAUAGCAGAUUUUGAAAAGACGUUUGAUAAAGUACAAUUAGAAUUUGUAUAUAAAUGCCUGGAAUACUUUAAUUUUGGUGAAUCUCUUAUACAAUGGGUUAAAGUUAUGUAUAGCAACCCCAGAUGUAAAAUAGUAACCAAUGGUUACUUCUCAGAAAGUAAUGAGCUUUUAAGAGGAGUAAAGCAAGGCUGUCUGUUGUCUCCAUAUUUAUUUAUUAUUGCCAUUGAAAUGCUAGCUAUUAACAUUAGAUCCAACAAGAACAUCAAGGGGUUAGAAAUCCAGGGGAUAUAAACAAAAGUGUCAAUGUAUGCUGAUGACUAUUUUUUUCUUAAGUCCGCAAUCUGGAUCCCUGCACAAUCUCAUUGAAGAUCUUGAUCACUUUUCUAGCCAAUCUGGAUUAAACCCUAAUUAUGACAAGUGUACCAUAUUACGUAUUGGAUCGUAAAAAAAUACACUGUAUACAGUACCUUGUAGUUUACCAAUAAAAUGGGCGGAUGGUUGUCAGGUGUGUGUGUACUGGUAACGAGGUCAGGUGCAGGAGAGCAGAGAUUUGUGAACAGGCGCACACUGAGGCAAAAGGGCAAAAUGCGCAAAACAGUCACAAGAAUUAUGUUUAACAAUAAACAUCUUCGUGAAAAAUACCACAGAAAAAAACAAACCAGUCUAGCACGUCAACAAUAAACAUGUAACACAAACAAUCUUUCACAAAGACAUGAUGGGGAACAGAGGAAUAAAUACAUGUAGAUUGAUUGGGGAAUGAAAACCAGGUGUGCAGGGAACAAGAAAAAACAAAUGGAUACAUGAAAAAUGGAGCGGCGAUAGCUAGAAAGUCGGUGACGUCGACCGCCGCCCAAACAAGGAGUCGACGACUUCGGCGGAAGUCGUGACAGUACUCCCCCCCCGACGCGCGGCUCCAGCGGUGCGUCGACACCGGCCUCGGGGACGACCCGGAGGGCGAGGUGCAGGGCGAUCCGGCCGGCGACGGUGGAACUCACGCAGCAGUUCAGGGUCCAAUACAUCAGCCACUGGAACCCAGCACCUCUCCUCCGGACUGUACCCCUCCCACUCCAUGAGGUACUGAAGGCCCGACGCCUCGAAUCCAGGAUGGAACGGACGGAGUACGCCGGGGCCCCCUCGAUGUCCAGAGUGGGCGGAGGAACCUCCCGUACCUUAGACUCCUGGAGCGGACCAGCCACCACCGGCCUGAGAAGAGACAUGGAACGAGGGGUUAAUAUGGUAAUCGGGGGGAAGCUGUAACCUGUAACAUACCUUGUUCACUCUCCUCAGGACUUUGAAUGGCCCGACAAACCGUGGGCCCAGCUUCCGGCAGGUCGAGACCCCCAAACGUUCCAUGAACGCCCUCCAGACUCGAAGUGAACUGGGGACCUCGAUCAGACACUAUAUCCUUAGGCACCCCGUAGUGCCGGAGGACGUGUGUAAACAGGACCUCCGCAGUUUGUAGGGCCGUAGGGAGACCGGGCAGAGGGAGGAGACAACAGGACUUAGAGAAACAAUUCACAAUGGCCAGGAUCGUGGUGUUUCCCUGUGAGGGAGGAAGAUCCGUUAGAAAAUCCACCGACAGGUGUGACCAAGGCCGUUGUGGAACGGGUAAGGGAUGUAGCUUCCCUCUGGGCAGGUGUCUAGGAGCCUUACACUGGGCGCACACCGAGCAGGAGGAAACAUAAACCCUCACGUCCCGAGCCAAGGUGGGCCACCAGUACUUCCCAGUCAGACAGCGCACCGUCCGACCGAUCCCCGGAUGACCAGAGGAGGGUGAUGUGUGGGCCCAAUAGAUCAACUGGUCACGGACAGCAGACGGAAUGUAUUGACGCCCAACGGGACACUGGGGUGGAGCGGUCUCUGUACGCAACGCCUGCUCAAUGUCCGCGUCCAGCUCCCACACGACCGGCGCUACCAGGCAGGAGGCCGGGAGAAUGGGAGUCUGAUCCAUGGGCCACUCCUCUGUGUCAUACAGCCGGGACAGUGCGUCUGCCUUCACAUUCUGGGAACCUGGUAUGUAGGACAGGGUAAACACAAAACGGGUAAAGAACAUGGCCCACCUUGCCUGACGAGGAUUCAGUCUCCUAGCUGCACGGAUGUACUCCAGGUUGCGGUGGUCAGUCCAGAUGAGGAAAGGGUGUUUAGCCCCCUCAAGCCAAUGUCUCCACGCCUUCAAAGCCUUAACCACAGCCAACAGCCCCCGGUCCCCCACAUCAUAGUUCCGCUCCGCCGGGCUGAGCUUCUUCGAGAAGAAAGCACAGAGGCGGAGCUUUGGUGGCGUGCCCGAGCGCUGAGAGAGCACAGCUCCAAUCCCAGCCUCGGACGCGUCCACCUCCACUAUGAAUGCCAAAGAGGGAUCCGGAUGGGCCAGCACGGGAGCCGAGGUAAACUCUUAGUUGCCCAAAAGUCCUGUCUGCCUCAACCGACCACUGCAGACUACAGGACCCCCCUUCAGCAGUGAGGUAAUGGGAGCAGCUAAGAGACUGAAUCAGUAGAUCACUUAUUCUGGUAUUGCCCCUACGUAGCUUGUUUCUGGUCACAGGUUCAGGAAUGGUAAAAAAAAAAAUCACAACAUGCACUUAAAAUUAACCUUACAAAUAGCAGUGUUGGGUGAUCUGGAAAGCCAUAGCCAGUCAAUAAAUCAUCUAAAAUUAUUUGAAGGAAAGAAGUUAAGAUGCAUUAAAUACACACCAAAAUAUGUUACAGAUACUACAAAAAUGUUCCAUCACUCAGACAGUUAGUGAAUACACAGCAUCCAGCACAGCAAACAAUCAAUCAAUCAAAUAUAUAUUGACAAAAGCCCUUUUUACAUCAAAAUAAUAACCACAGUGGUUAUAGAGGGUGCAACAGUUCAACACCUCAGGAGCAAAUGUCAGUUGGCUUUUCAUAGCUGAGCAAUAAUAGGUUGAGAGAGUGUCGAAACAGCAGAACCAGGACAAGGAAGCACGUCCAUUGAAACGGGUAAAAAAACAUAUUUGAAAAAAUAAUUCCACUCCAAUUCCCUUUAUGGAUGGGUGUAUCUUUGAAUUGGCUGUUGAAUGGCCUGCUCCUUCUCCAUUUUCGGAACACCAUCCCGCUCCCCCAAAGUGAUCGAUAGUAUAUUUUGGCUCGCACUGUGAUGAGUGUGAUUCUGAGCUCUCAGCGAGUUAUGGUCUUCACUGAUCUCACUCUCCAUCAGCUCCAUCUGUGGCAAAUAGGGGCAGGACUCGAUUGUAUACUGAUGGUCGUGAGCGCAAUCUAGCUGGGCCCUGAGCUCUUUGGUGAUGGUCCCGGUGGACCUCUUCUCCACCGCAGCACAGGAACACUCUGCCACCCAGGGGUCAGUUUGGCAUGCUGUACUAACCGUUCUUUCCUGUUGGUAGAAAACAAUUAAUGCAUCUAUUAGGCUAUAGUUAUAUUCAAAUCACUGCAUAUACUUGAAAUAAACAAUAGCUUUAGAAAUAACAUGGAUUUGCAUGUACCCCCUGCCUCCUGCAGGAUGAAAACAUUUUCAGGGAUGAAGAUGUCAUCCUGAAAACAAGCAAACGUUUUGUUAAGACAACUGAACCCACAUAUAUCAGUUGGCAUUAACAAGCUACCUGUUGUAUGCUUUAUCAACACACACACACACACACACACACAGCAAAUACAGGGACAUGUCUUUAUCAGCAAACAUUAGUUAUGUCAACUUCAGUCUAGCUAAAUGAGGUGGAGUUAACAAAACAUUACAAAAACAAAUCUGUCAACAAAAUGUAUUACAGUACUUGACUAUCUGAGGUGGGAGCUAGCUACAGUAACUAACGUUACCUAAUAACAGGGGUACACGGAUAAACUGUGUUGCAAUUUUAGUUACAAUUGAGUUGCUUGCUAACCUUAUUUGCUGGGGGGGGGGUUACACAAAACACUUCAGAUGCAAUUAGCUAGUUACCUUCAACUAGAGUUGCAACAAAGUUGUCCAGUGUCUAACGCUAGCCUAGUCAACAGUCAUGACCGGUUAACGUUACCUCUGGAGCUCCAUUGCAUUGACUCGCGUGGCCUCCUUCGUUCAGUCGCUUUUGAUGAUGGUCGGUCGGAAACCCGUACACCAUAACCCUCGAAAUGUCCUUCAUCGCGAUGUCUGCCUCUGCGAAAUGCUGUCUGCAGAUCUGCAACCUACUUCUCUAUCUAUAAACCGACACUAUGAGAUAUCCUGUGUUUACUAUUAUAUUAUACAAAAUGUUCAGGGUAAGCUGAAAGGCUACAUGUUAAUAUCCAUACAAUUACUGCGCUAUAAUACAAUUUAUAUCACCACGCUGUAGGUUAUUACUGUGGCCAGGAAAAGCGGAGUAUUGUAAAACUGCUGCCAACUUACCACAAAGCCACAGGUGUCCCCUCUCUGCUUAUCCCAAAUAAACGCUGGCUCAGCGAAAUGCAGAAGCUAUUUAAUACGAACGAUUCAACAAUUCCCUUUGGCCUUCAUUUACUGACACCGACCAACGGCAAGAACAAAUAGACGGUAGCAUAAGCAAAUAAUAAGUAUGCUAGUGCGCCAGUAUUUGUGCGUUAGAGAUGUCGACGAUGAGUAUGACGUGUAUCGUCGACAUCUCUAAAGCACAGAUACUGGGGCAAAUAAGUAGCUGUUCAACAUAUACAGGCGCGUUAAUACUACAGUAGUAGUCUACCUGCUAUAAAAGAGGAAGUUCCAGGCGAGAUAUCAGAAGUGCCGUAUCAAGUCUCCUUCGAUUUUCGAGAGGUGUGUCUGCUCUCUCGCAGUGUAGAAGCCUAGAAUAAAACACUGAUGGAGAAGACCGGCUAUGUGCACACUUCCCACAAAAUGAGGUGGAAACUGAGCUGCACUUUCUAACCUCCUGCCAAAUGUAUGACCAUAUUAGAGACACAUAUUUCCAUCAGAUUACACAGACCCUCAAAGAAUUCGAAAACAAACCCGAUUUUGAUAAACUCCCCUAUCUAUUGGGUGAAAUCCCAGUGUACCAUCACCGCAGCAAGAUGUGUGACCUGUUGCCACAAGAAAAGGUCAACCAGGAAGAACAAACACCAUCGUAAAUACAACCCAUAUUUAUGCUUAUUUAUUU